rnacentral:lncRNA from 1 species
GUAUUAUUUGCUUGUUUUUAAGAUCUUUGCCUCUUCUUUCGGCUGCAAGAACUGAGAUAUAUUUUGGAUCAAUUUCUUGACGGCUUUGUUCUGGAGGCAUAUAUUAACUUUUUGAUCCAAAGUUUUUGGGGUUUCUCAGAUUAUUAUCAUUCGCUAUGUUUUUUCUGGCUCCCCUUUCUUUGGAAAAUCUUGUUUAGCAUUUUUAGUCUGUUUGGUUACAGAAAGUAACUGCGUGUUUUGCCC